rnacentral:lncRNA from 1 species
UGAAGCGUGUCAUCACCCUGGUCUCCCAGGUGUCCUGGACCCACGACUUUGGCAUCUAACCCGAUUAUCCCUCCAUCCUUUUGGUCCCCAAGAGCUGAAUUUAAAAUGGGUGAAAAGGUAAAAGUAACUAAUACAGGACUCUUUUUUUUCCAUUGUUAUUUCUUUUCCCUCUUUCUUGCUAAAUCUCUGAGGCUUCCCCACCCUGCCCCCAAAAGUAACAGAAUACAGAAACAUGUUCCCUUCCCCCUUUGCCUCAUCUUCCAUAUCCUUAGUAUUAUUUUAGCUACCAGAAAUUGGCAUUGGGAAGAAUCUCAGGAAGUGAAAGCUUGGAAAUUUAUGAUCAGAGCCAUUUGAACAAAAUGCAGAUACGAGAUUUCCCGUAAUCUGUUUUCUUCCUGUAAUAUUUGCCCCAGCAAUAUAUAGGAUGACACCCUAUGUUACAGGAUACAUAGGCUUCUGAGAUCCCCUUUCAAAGUUAUUACCCACCUCUGUCCCACUAUAUCACCAACAUUAUGAAGCUUGUUAUUUCUCAGGUAUAACCAAGUUUAUACUCAUCUGAAUACAGUACCCACCUCGGGGGUUGUUGGGAGGUUUAAAUGAGUUAAUAUAUGCAAAGCCCUUAAAAGUGUCUGGCAUAUGGUAAGAUAUAUGUAAGUAUUUGCUGUUAUUAACUACCUGUUUUAUUGUUUUAAUUUGAUAGAAGAAUUUAGAAUGUCAACUUCAGUUCCUCAUUAACUGUGAUUGGAUGCAAAGCUGGCCUGAAAAUUGUUUGCCCCUCAGAGGUCAACAGAACUACUUCCGUUGAAUGAGAGAACAUACUAAUCACCCUUUUCUCCACCUUGUUGAAGGGUUUUGAAAUAUUCCCUAACUUACAUCUUGUUCACGCCAGUACCAGCCAGGAGAGGGGAGGGCUGCAGGUCCUCCUCCCACUCUGCUUCUCCCUCUUGCCCCUUUAGAAUUAAGGACAAGACAGAAGAGCAUUUUCUUCAAAGCCUCAGUUGUUCUGAUAAACACGAGUCAGCUUACUGUACAAGCCAGCUUAAAUUUGGAAACCCCUUGCAUGGCACAUGAUCUCAAGUGGCAGCCUCUAAGCACCCCACCUAUCAUUCAAGGUCGGGUAAUUAAAUAAGGACCGUUUGCCCACCUGGUGCUUUAAAACUGACCUGUGUUUCCCACAAGAUGACUUGAGGUGGAAUUAUGUCACAGCACCAACAUCUUUAACACCUUAGGGUGAGAGAUUUCAGAGAGAUCAGAUUUCGUCAGGUGAGUGACAAGACUUCAACUCCUUCCUGCAGUGUAUAAAAACAAUGAAACAUGAAUGCAUUUUAUUGCAGAGUGUUUGACUCAUGUGUGCAUAUUAAAAUAUUUUUUCGAAGACCUGUGAAAUAGCGUAUCUCCCUAUGAAUGUUUAUAGCAUUCAUUACCAAAAUUCAUCUCUAGGACAUAUGUUUUUCUGUUUUCUCUUUCUAAUCUCCUUUUGGGAGAAUGGAGGGUGGGCGGAAAUCAGCUUCCCCAGCUAGAUCUGCGUUUUUUCCAGUUAAAAGUGAAGUUUCAUUUAAUUUGUGGUCUGAUGGUAUGGGAAUUUUCCCCCCAAUCUGUUGUUAUUUAAAAGAGCAAACCCUAUUCCUAUCAUCAUCUGUUACCUGGGGUAUUAUUUAGUAAGUGCUUUGUUUGUAAACAGACAGUGGGUUUUGAGAGAUCUAGUCCUGUGGUGAACACGUUUGCAGCAUCCUACCGUGGCUGUUUAGCAGCUGCACUGUUAGCGUUCCUCUUUUCCAUGUUUUAGUUUUAGAUCUCAGUUUUGAGGUGAUUUCCCCCCACCCACAAUGUUUUCUAGGUUAAGGAAGAUUUUACACAUAUUACUUGUGAAAUCCCCAGUUCUUUUUCUGUCAGGGAUGACUAGGAAUCAGGACUGAAUUAACCUGUUCUAGAUCUUUUUGGGGCAAGAGGAGGAGUGAAAUAUUUAAAAAAUUCUUCUCCUUGGCAUUGUCUUGUCGUCACUACAGCCAAACAGGACAAAGGGAGGUGAUGCCUUUAGGUUAAGGUUAAUUUACAGAUGUCAGCAGCCUGUCUCCCAACCCCAUUCCACGGAGGACCCCAGUUUUUCUACCUGUGUUUUUCAGAGGAGCACAGAUUUGAACUACUUUGCUGAACUUCCUCCUUCCUCUUAAUUAUUUAUUCGAUUUCACAAGCAAUCCUCAACUCGUAGUAAAGAAAUCAAAAUCAUUGUUUGUUCUUUGGAUGGUUGAAAAUACAGCUGUGUCCAGGGGAGUAUGGGGAUGGAGAGGUGUUAUUUCUUAUCUUAAAGAAAAAGAAAAAGAAACCCAAAACAGCAAAACUAAUUAAAACGGUAGAAAUCCUCUUAGCCAGGAAAUGACUGUGAGUCUCUCCUCCGCAGCGGAGCAGCUGUUGUGAGCCAUCAGCUGGCACCAGGCGAGCCCGGGUUUGGGGAGGGGGCUGCUGGGGGGCUUCCCUGCCCCCCCCACCCCCACGCUCUCUCUGCUCUGCGUUUGCUCUGAGCCUUCAUUGUCUCCCUUCUGUGUCUAGUGUUCUUUGUCUGCGGUGGGUAGCGGUGUCUCACCCCCACUCCAUAGCCAGUCUCCCUCAGCCUCUGUUCAUCCCAUUUUCUUUCUUUUUCCUGCUCCUCGCGCCCCCACGGCCCUUCCUCUCUUUCCUGGUUUUAUGAUUCAAGUGAUUGGAGAGGAUCUUAGGUAAAUGCUCAGAAGGUCCAGCUUCUAAUGAGCUUCAAAGAAGUAAGGACAUAAGAUGUGAUGCCUUUAAAAUGGACAGUGUGACUGUGGAUUUGGGAGUUACAUGUUCUUGAUGUAACAGUGAAAAAUACUGGGGGGCCGGCAUGAAUGAGGGGGAUGGUGCUCGCCCAUCGGUCUGAAGUAAAGGGAAGGUGCUGUUGAAUUACAUUCCCUCCCCCAAUAUUCUGGGGCUUGGAGAGAACUGUCAAUGUAUCCUGGCUGCUGUGCCAUUGUUAAUAAGAAACACAACGUGAUAACAAAUGCCUUGUGAAUUUCAAUGGCCAGGUACAUGUUCAGAAAGGCUUCUGAAAUAAAUACGUGCCUCCACAUUCUGGCUGGUGUAAAGCAUUAAUAAUGGCUUGAUAGGGCUUGGCUCUAAAGAGCUCAUUUACAGCCUCUCUCUUCUCUUCUGCCCAUUACCUGUGGCUUACAGUGCUUUUUAAGUGAUUCUCUUGCUUGUGCUGAGGAGAACAGCGAGAGGAGAAAGCUUGGGUUGACAGAACUCUUAAAGCCAUUUGUAAUGGACACAAAAAACUUUUCCUUGGGGGAACUUCAAGCUCUCCAGUAUAGAAAUCCUGUAGCUGGGACAGACUUAAUUCAGGGAGCCCGUCCCAAAGUUCUCUGGUAGCUCAUCAAGUUAAGGAUCUGGCAUUGUCACUGCUGUGGCUUGGGUCACUGCUGUGGCAAGGGUUUGAUCCCUGGCCCAAGGACUUCUGCUUGCUGUGAGCGCCACCAAAAAAAAAAAAAAAAAAAAAUGCCAAUCCCUUAUUGUUCAAGAUAUGGAAACCGAGCUUAGAGGAUGCUUUAAGACAUUUCCUAGGACACAGAGCCCCAUGUGUGGCCACAUUAGAACUUGAAUCUGGUACUUUUUAAAGACCCUUUCAGGACAAAGGCUAGUCUCUCAGUCUCCUUUGGAGGAUGUCACUGGCAAAAUGUUGUCCCCAAACACAGAAAGAGAGAUUGAUCUUGUUGGCCUUACAGGCGUCAGUCCCUUGGCUCCAGCCAUCCCAGAGCUUUUGUUUCUGCUUCUCUUUUUCACACCGCUCCCUGCCCUAUCCCCUACCCCUCAGUACCACUUAGUACCUUUCCUCCUUGUACCUAAGGUGUGCUCUAUAUUUUUCUUUCACUAGGUGCUUCCCUCCCAGUAUAUUUGGAAUUCUGUCCAAGAGCUCCACCUAAAAUGUUCUCGUAGGGUAACCCAGACCUAACCCAAAGAAGCAAUGCUAAUUAACAUCAGUUCCAAAUGUGCCCCAAGCUAGUGUGGCAGGCUCAACACAGGACAGGCCCAGGGGCGGACAUCAAGUCCUGGUGCUAUAGCACCAGUUCAGGGGAACAUAGUAACUCCUGUGGGCCCCCCUGCAAAGUUCCCUCCAGCUCUAGAAGCUUAGGUCCUCAUGUAUAUGGACAGAGAGGAAUUUUGAGAAAGAAUUGGUCAGUGGAAGCAUCAACCCAGUGGAACUGUGUUAUUCAAAGUUCAGGCUCCUGGAUCUUCAGUCCCCCGUUGGAGCUGGCUGCUUUGUCCCUGCACUGCUCUGCUGCUGCCACCACAAAGCAUCUCUAGCUGGCUCUGCCGGCACUUGCUCAAGGGGCUGGUGCUGCUGGUGAGGGAGGAGGCUGGGUUUCUGCUGGACAAAGGCUACCAUGUCAUUGAGGGGGAAUUCUAAUACAUACAAGUUGCUUGUCUGCCAAGAUGGUUUGAGUACAUCUAGUAAACAAAUCUAGGGAUGCAUGUAACCGUGUUCAUGAUGUUUCUGUUUUCUGUGUUGUGUGAAUAUUCUGACUCCAGAGUGUAAGCUCCUUUACAGGCAGCCCUGUAAUGACACAGUGUUAGAGCUGAGUUGCUACUUAAUAAGUACUUAAUGACAAUGACAUGUCCUGGGUCUGCCUCCUGAUUUUAGGUCCAGUAUUUAGAACCUCUAGCCCUAUAGUAUUUGAAGUCGUAAUCUUCUGAAUAUUUGGGAAUGUAUCAUGAAAAUAAAUUUGAUAUGGAAGUUAACUCAUCUUCCUCUUUCCCAUGGUGACUUAUUACAAAUCAUGAUUUGUACUUUCUGCUUCUACUUCUGUGUAAGUUUUCCCACUCCAUGGCCUCAACUGGAAUAAUUUUGCAGACUUUAAACUUAUUCCAAAUGUAAUUAGAAAUUCAACAGUACAGAUUUCAGAUAGAGAAAAAAAAAACGAUAGUGUUCUUUUGAAUGCUUUUCAUCUUUCUGUGGUGCUGUAAAAAAGGCAUGAGUCCAGGUGCGAAUCUGGUUUUGUUGUUUUUUGAAAGGGAAAAUGUCCAGUGUAGAUGGACAGUAUCUAUUAAAACAAGGAUGUGAUUAAAUAACAAGAAAGUUUUGUGAGACCAACAUUUCCUUUUUCAAAGAAAGUAUUUAGUGUAUGGGGAAAGAUUCACUGUGGUUUUUGUAGAAUCAUCUGGACAAAUUGGGAAACAUUCUUGGAUUAAUUACCAAAAAAAAUACCUUCCAUGAAUCAAGUUGUGGAUGUGCCAACAGGAGAGAAUAUUCGUCUCACUUUUGUAUUCACCUGUAAUUUUGACCCAUUUCUUAUAAGGACUCAGAAGAGGGGUCAGCCCUGUUUCUUAGACACAGUUCUGAACCAACUUAGUGACUUUGACCUAUCACUUUGCUACUUCUGAACUCCGAGACCUCUUCUGGGACAUCUUUUAAGCUCUUGGCUUUCCUUUCACUGGAAUUAUAAUACCUGCUCCCUACCUUCCUUAAAUGAAUGUUGUAGCACUUAUCAGGAUAUAUGGGAUAAUGUCCCCAAUGAGAAAGCAAUUUGGAACUUUCAAAGUGGUUUCACUACUGAGAAGGAACUCUGAAAAUGUGUUUUAACAUGGUAGGAACUGAUGGUGGCAAAAACUGCAACUGCUCAUGGGGAAAACUGGAGAAGGAUGUUGCAAAUUUAACAAACAUCUCUUACAUUCUGAGCUGAAAGAGCAAAAUCAGUCUGUCUUUUGUUCGUUUAUUUGAGAUUUGGUUUGGGGACCAUACUUGCACUACAUUGGAAAGGAAAGAAGGCCACAUCUUUUUUUAAUUCUUGGUCCUUUCCCCAUUGUGGGCGCCAUUUACACAGCUGGAUGGCGACCCCAUCUCAGUCUCAUCCACACCACCAUACUUCCUUUGGGGGAAAACUCUCAAGCAGAAGUGGUGCUGGGAUACAGGUUUGGGUCACGGGCCCUAUAGUUUGGUUUUGAUGUAAGCAGAGGUAUCCCUAGGAUGUGGCGAUGAAAAGACAGGCAUGCUGGUCUGUUUCUCUGAUUGUCGUACCAAUUUGUUACAUGAUCUCAGGCAAAUAUGUUUAUGUUCCUUUAAAGGGCUGCUAUUGAUUUUAACUUCACCAGCCGUGAGGAGUUUUAGUUGAUGUUGGCAAAGCUCUUUUUAUUCCCAGGUUGAAUCAUGCCAUAAGAAGCGCUGUUUCGUUUUGUUUUUAAUUUCAGGGCUGGGGAAGAGAGGUUAUGGAGCUCCUACUGCUUUGCUGGCUCUUUUUACCCCAUAAUUUCAGACGUAUAGCAAUAAACCACCACUGAAAGUAAUGAACAGGUUUUACUGAGGUAAAUGAAGAUGACCGUGACAGUUUUAUUAUAUUAAUCGAAUGGUAUUACUGUUUAACAUUAGCAACACCUCAAUCAGAUGCUUCCUUGAGUUUAAAUGAAAAACCCACGGUGACUUUCAAGAAGAGGAUCAUGUUAAAAAGUAACAUGUAGCUCAGAUCGGAGAGUUUUGAAGUAAUCCUUAGUUAUAGCCUUCAUAUGGCAUUUGGUAGAAAUGUUUGAUGAAACAUAGUGGGCAUAAGAGUUCCCGUCUUGGCUCAGUGGAAACGAAUUCGACUAGGAACCAUGAGGUUGUGGGUUCGAUCCCUGGCCUUGCUCAGUGGGUUAAGGAUCUGGCGUUGCCGUGAGCUGUGGUGUAGGUUGCAGACGUGGCUCAAAUCCCACAUUGCUGUGGCUGUGGUGUGGGCCAGUGGCUACAGCUCCAAUUCAGCCCCUAGCCUGGGAACCUCCAUAUGCUGUGGAUGUGGUC